GGCCAUGUUUUUCCACAGCUUUCUUGAACUUAAAAUUUCUUUCAUUCUCACAAACAAACUACAAUCUCAAUUCUAACAAAAACACUUUCAAGCUCAAGAAAGCUGUGGGAAAUUAUGACAC
rnacentral:pre_miRNA from 2 species